rnacentral:rRNA from 1 species
AAAUGAAUAGACGGGUCCCCGCACAAGCAGCGGAGCGUGUGGUUUAAUUCGAGGCUACACGAAGAACCUUACCAGGAUUUGACAUGCUAGUGGUAGUGAAGUGAAAGCGGAACGACCCUUCGGGGAGCUAGCACAGGUGCUGCAUGGCUGUCGUCAGCUCGUGUCGUGAGAUGUCAGGUUAAGUCCUGAAACGAGCGCAACCCUCAUCGCUAGUUAUACGUGUCUAGCGAGACUGCCCGUGAUAAGCGGGAGGAAGGGGAGGAUGAUGUCAAGUCAGCAUGGCCUUUAUGUCCUGGGCUACACACACGCUACAAUGGCCGGUACAAUGGGUUGCCAAGUCGCGAGACGGAGCCAAUCCCUCAAAGCCGGUCUCAGUUCGGAUUGCAGGCUGCAACUCGCCUGCAUGAAGUCGGAGUUGCUAGUAACCGCGCGUCAGCCAUAGUGCGGUGAAUACGUUCCCGGGGAUUGCACACACCGCCCGU